CAGUGAUUCGAUAUUAAACCGGACGAUAUUCGACGAGUGAUUCGUGUCGCGUUCGAAGAAAAACUUGACUGUGGACGCAUUAAUAACUGUAUUGUGUUUGUUAUUCUCCAGCAUCGCUUCGUAGAUCUCCUGCGUGAUAUUAGCUGUCACAUCUUGUCCAUGUUUCAGUUAUCUGCUAUAGGAUAAGUCAUUAGGACUCCAUGAAAGUAUGUACUUGGAACGUUUUGCACAUACAGUCUUAUUGUGUUAUCUCAUUGGUGUGCAUUAUGUAUGAUUGGAGCGGAAUCCAAGAAAAAUAUGGUCGCAUCCCGACUUUUACUGAAAACUAAUGGUGAUACUUUUGUUUCAUAGUUCUGUCCUUUCUCCAGCCGCAUCGCCUUGAUCUCCUCCAGAGUCGUUUAAGAUACUGGAGUUAGUCUGCGAUUAACGAUAUUGGCUCCAGAAAUUGAACGGGACCUCACAGGAGAGUCAUUCUUCAAUCAACUUGUAAGUAUUGUAAUUCUUUAACAUAAUCAUGACUUCGACCCAAUAUUUUCGCGCCCAAAACCUGUAAAAAUAGCAUUUUAUGCAACGAGGUACUUAUUUUUGUUUGACUCUUUUAAAUCGCAUUUUUAAAUUUGCUUUAGCAAUUUUGCAGUUUCCUGCUACACUUGGCGUAGUUAGUUCCCCACAAACUAGAUGGCGCUAGCGCACUUCAUAUCCAUACAUCAAUUAGUUUAAAAUAACACGCAUAGGUUGCGCUAGUGUCGUUUGUUUUGUUUUUAGUCGAGUUAGCUUUUUAUUUAUCUCCAUAAUACGUGUUUAUAUUUGUUUCUGGGGAUUAAAAAUUUAAGAAUUUAAUUUAUAAAUAGAAUUCAUCUAUAAUACACAAGUUAAUAUCUAAAAGUUUUGAAUACGUAAAAUAAAAAUUCUCGCAAUGUACAUAAAUUAGAUCGUCAUUUUACAUUUUGCUCCCAUAUGAACUGAAACAGAUAGAUCUUCUUUGCGUAAGCUAGAGUGAGAGCUGAAAGUGCUGAGUUUCAUAUGCGCAAUCAAUGUAAUGUAUAUCAUCCGGCUAAUUUACGGCAGUUGCC